AUUGAACGCUGGCGGCAGGCCUAACACAUGCAAGUCGAACGGUAACAGGAAGAGGCUUGCUUCUUUGCUGACGCGUGGCGCAGGGGUGAGUAAUGUCUGGGAAACUGCCUUAUGGAGGGGGAUAACUACUGGAAACGGUAGCUAUUACCGCAUAACGUCGCAAGCCCAAAAAGGGGGACCUUCGGGCCUCUUGCCAUCGGAUGUGCCCAGAUGGGAUUAGCUAGUAGGUGGGGUAACGGCUCACCUAGGCGACGAUCCCUAGCUGGUCUGAGAGGAUGACCAGCCACACUGGAACUGAGACACGGUCCAGACUCCUACGGGAGGCAGCAGUGGGGAAUAUUGCACAAUGGGCGCAAGCCUGAUGCAGCCAUGCCGCGUGUAUGAAGAAGGCCUUCGGGUUGUAAAGCACUUUUAGCGGGGAGGAAGGGAGUAAAGUUAAUACCUUUGCUCAUUGACGUUACCCGAAGAAGAAGCACCGGCUAACUUCGUG
rnacentral:rRNA from 1 species